rnacentral:rRNA from 1 species
AUUGAACGCUGGCGGCAGGCCUAACACAUGCAAGUCGAGCGGAGCGGCGGACGGGUGAGUAAUGCCUAGGAAUCUGCCUGGUAGUGGGGGAUAACGUCCGGAAACUGGCGCUAAUACCGCAUACUAUCAGAUGAGGCUAGGUCCGAUUAGCUAGUUGGUGGGUGAAAGGCCUACCAAGGCGACGUUCCGUACCUGGUCUGAGAGGAUGAUCAGUCACACUGGAAGUGAGGAACGGUCCAGACUCCUACGGGAGGCAGCAGUGGGGAAUAUUGGACAAGGGGCGAAAGCCUGAUACAGCCAUGCCGCGUGUGUGAAGAAGGUCUUCGGAUUGUAAAGCACUUUAAGUUGGGAGGCGUUACCAACAGAAUAAGCACCGGCUAACUUCGUGCCAGCAGCCGCGGUAAUAC